rnacentral:rRNA from 1 species
GUCCCAAGGGUAUGGCUGUUCGCCAUUUAAAGUGGUACGUGAGCUGGGUUUAAAACGUCGUGAGACAGUUUGGUCCCUAUCUGCAGUGGGCGUUGGAAGUUUGACGGGGGCUGCUCCUAGUACGAGAGGACCGGAGUGGACGAACCUCUGGUGUACCGGUUGUAACGCCAGUUGCAUAGCCGGGUAGCUAAGUUCGGAAGAGAUAAGCGCUGAAAGCAUCUAAGCGCGAAACUCGCCUGAAGAUGAGACUUCCCUUGCGGUUUAACCGCACUAAAGAGUCGUUCGAGACCAGGACGUUGAUAGGUGGGGUGUGGAAGCGCGGUAACGCGUGAAGCUAACCCAUACUAAUUGCUCGUGAGGCUUGACUC